CCGAGUGUAGGGUUCCUAGCGAGCCCAACCUCCCACCCGUGUUUACUGUACCUUAGUUGCUUCGGCGGGCCCGCCGUCAAGGCCGCCGGGGGGCAUCAGCCCCCGGGCCCGCGCCCGCCGGAGACACCACGAACUCUGUCUGAUCUAGUGAAGUCUGAGUUGAUUGUAUCGCAAUCAGUUA
rnacentral:misc_RNA from 1 species